UUCUGCAGGUCUUCCAAGGGACUGCCUAACCGGGCAGUCCUAGACGGCGGAGCCCCGCGCACAAAGCGGACACUUCUCGGAGGCUGGCGCGGAGACCAUGCCAUCUUGAGAAACAGAGCUGCCUGAGACUUGGAUCCUGGCUUCUGACACAAACCAGGACCCUGCAGUCACUGGGGACAGAGAACUGCUAUCACAGCUUCAGACCAACAAACAACAAGAAUCCAGACUUCCCGGCAGAUUUCUAUUAUCAGCAACCUUCAGAGGAAGUACUUCUAGAAAAACAUGUUAAGAUGAGAAUGAGAAUGCAGCACCACAGAUGGGCUCUGAGAAGACUCUGUCAACGAAGAACCAACUUCACAGCCACUACUCACAGCAACUCUGGCUUUAUGUCCAGAACUUGGACCUAAGUCUUCCACUGGUAUGCUGGGCAAAAACAACCGAGAUUUAUUAUUUCAAAGUAGGAAUCACAUUAGAUACUAAUAACCUCAGAAACAUCAAUAUAUGACAAAUAAAAUGUGA